GCUGGGCACAGUGGCACAUGCCUGUAAUCCCAGCAACUCAGGAGGCUGAGGCAGGAGGAUGGCAAGUUCAAAGCCAGCUUCAGCAAAAGUGAGGUGCUAAGCAACUCAGUGAGACCCUGUCUCUA
rnacentral:sRNA from 1 species